CAUGCACCUGGGUGGGCCUAUGAGAGGCAGCAGGAGCCAUGACUUUCUUUGUUCUUUUUUUGUUUUCUUUAAAUAAACCACCAAACAACGGCAGAUCUCGUGCAUGGACAUUGGAUUUCUUUUGCCUGUGUACAUCACAUCCCCCAUGGUGCAUCAGUGGUCAUUUGAUUAUUUUUGAUAUUAGUUUUAGAUUUUUGUUUUUGUUUUUGGACAAAUAGCCACUAUACGAGCCAAAAGUAGACAAGCUGAAGUAAAAAUAAAUCUACAGAUCUUAAAGUAAUAUUUGUAUCCAACGACUGCUACAAGUGAAAGAGAGAGAACAGUGGUGGUUUCUGUUUAUCGAGCACUUUUGAAGUCUCAAAAAGAUGUAAAAGUUAUGUUUAUAUCUCUCCCUGAGUACAUUUUGGUAAUUGAUGCCCAGGCUGAUAAAACUGUUUUAUAAUUACAUGUGUGUCACAUGUGUCUCGUAGAACGCAUUCAUGUGUUGCAUUCAGUGUUUAAUUCAUUGAUUAAUUGAUUUUAAUCAAUUGUUCAGUUCAUAUGAAUUGUUGCUCACAUACCCAAACAUACAGUAACUGUAAGAUUUCAUUUAUAACACAAACAGAUAUUUUAAUCUGAUCUAUAAAAUAAAAUAGGAAACAAAACAAUUGAGUGGAAAAUAAUAUACAGCUUGUUUAUCAACUCAAUUACAUUAAAACCCAUUAACAAUUGUUAGAUACUGCAGCCCAUCAGUGUUUGGCCUUAUAAUUAUUCAGCAGUAAAACAAAGGCAAAGUGCAGUUUUAGCCGUAAAACUGAAAUGGUUAACCUGGAGUUCAUAUUACAAUAUAUAUUUAAAAAAUGGUUUUCUCAGUUUGGCAUUAUUGCAGAUAGAAGGGAUGCAUUCCUCGGCUGUUAUGCUGCAUUCAUGUGGAUUCGGACAAACCGGAAAACGAGUUUCCGAGUUGUAAAAUGCACAUGAACACCUGCUCAAGAAUGACUUCCCAACUCGGAAACUGGGACCACCCGAGCAGCACCUGAAUGCAGCAUACAUACCUGAGAGGACUGAUGACACUUGCUAGACAGAUGCAACGAGGUGUGCCACACUCAGCCCAAAACAACAGUACUUCUUAGACUACAUGCACAGGUACUAUGAAGUAUUACUGUGUACUUUUUGAGAAAUCCACUGUCAAAGUCCCUUAUAUGUCAUGUUACAGAGUCUUUUUUUUCUGACUUUGAUGUCUUGUAAUCUGUCACAUUCAAAACACUGCAGAGAGCUGUGUCAUAGUACCUGUGCAUGUAGUCUAAGAAGUACUAAGUCCAACCAUUUAAUUACCUGUGAGGUGCGCCACACCCAGCCCAAAACAACAGCCGUGAUGUAGAUGCAUUAACAUCCGCCUAUUCAUUGAGUAGCAGUAGCUCAGUGGUGACAGAAACAUGAUGUGGAAGUUGGUGCUUCUUGUUUUUUUCUCCAUCGGGGUUUUGGGUAGGAUUGGGGGUCGCGAUGAAAUAGAUCUCAACCAAGAUGUGGAGGCUCGAGAACUUCUGAAGUCUGCGGUGGAAGAGCACAGCCAGUUUGUUGACAAACUCGAGUUUGUUACAGUUCUGUGAACACUCGCACACCUGGAGACAAGCCGGAUAUCAGGUGUGGUCUCUGUCAGUGGUGUGACGCACUUCUUUUUCAGUCUCAGGGUAUACUCCCUUCUAAAUCCCUCAUGGGGCAUGACCCUCCCUGUCUCUAAACUCUGAACUAGCAGGCUGCUGUAGGAGGCCUACGCACUAACGAAACGUGCAAGCGAACUGCUGCAUUCACGUGGUGUCGGACAAAUCGAAAAAAUGACUUUCAGAGAACUUUGUAAAAUGCACAUGAAUCUGGGACCAUCCGAGGGACACCUGAACGCACCAUUACAGAAGGCCCUGAAAGUCACUACACGCAAAAACAUUUCAAGAACAGCAAAAAGAGGAAAUUAGUGAAAGACAAAAAUAUUUAAUAGGACAUAAAAACAACCUCGUGAACUUUAUUUCUUGGCUUUUGGUGAAACAUCUUUGAGUUUCACGAGAUGUUUUCAUGAUUUUUUUAUUUUUUUAACAUUUCAUGUAAUAUUCUUUUUUGUUUCUUUAAACGUUUUUUAAGUUCUAUAAAAUAUUUUUCCAUGUUGUGAGAUAAGUAAUAAGUUUUGUUUUAUUGCGCAUUUAGAUAAAUGUUUUUGCAUUUAGUGAAAUGUUGUUCUUUUGAAUACAAACGUAUGAUCCCACGCCCGGCCCUAUCAAACCAGCUCCAACUCCUAAAGUUAAGACCCAAAAACAGAGUAAAUUAAAAUGUCAUUUAUCAAGUUGGCUUGAUUGCAGUGGUUGUUCAUUGAGAUUUUGUUUUUCAUCUGCCGUAGAGUUUCUACUGAGGUUAAUGAUCUGUAUUUCCUUGACCCGCCCUCUUGUCCUCACAGGUGGUUGAAGGUGUUAAGUACUUCUUCACUGUGACUAUGGCGAGGACCCAGUGCCUGAAAGUGGAUGCAAAUGACAAGGAGAAUGGAUUGUGUGUCGUCCAUACAGACCCAGAUGAAGCUAAGCCUUACCAAUGCUCAUUCACGGUGUGGGUCAGACCCUGGAUCUCGACCAGCAAAGAGUUUACGCAGACCUGCUAAGAAGAAAACCAACGUAGGAAAAUCAUUCAGUGCUCCCACAUUGUAGCACAAUCUCCUUCCAGAUUUCUAUUUCCUGUAGAUAAAGCACAAGACCUGUAUCACUUCAAAUGGCUUCUUAUCUUUGUAAACUGUUUACAACUCUAAACGUGAUAAUCUUUUAAAAGUCUGUGUUUCAGAUUUCACUUUUAGUGAAACAACUUUAUAACGCAUUAUCAUCAAAACUACCUCAUGAAAUACACAAUGUUUAAAAAUUAAACACAUUUUAACAGCAUGUGAUUGUGUUGAUGUGUCUGGGUAUUACCCAGUACCUAAAAUGCAUUUUGCAUACCAAAGGCCAAAACACAGAGAAAGCUACGUUGAAAAAGAACGCCUACGUGUGGACUAUAGUCCUUCAACCCAACAAUUUAUGUUUGUCCUCUGUGUGGGACAUGAAUCUCCAAAGGAUAUUUCUGAAACCUGUUGGGCCCUGUACAGGACAAUCUGGUCUUUCUAAUGAGCGGCGCCAUCUCGACUAACACAUUUCAUGGUGGCAAGAGAGAAUCAGCAUCAGGGGGAAACCAGCUUCUGGCCCAGAUCGACACAACGUUCAGCCUCUUCACAAGAAACUGGUAUGAGACACGACUGCUGUAUUGGAAAACAGCCGAACGAUCGGAGUUUGAACCUCAGUGUUUUCACGUUGAAGGGCAAGUUCAUGAAGUUUGAGUUGGACGGCGCACAAUCGCUGCAUGUUAUUACUAUGCAACACUUUCACGCAAGACUGUCGGCUGCAUCCAUUGACAAUUAACCCGACUGCAGAGUGUGUUUUUGUGUUGGAAACUGGAUUUGAUCGGCCAAUAAACAAGUUAUGUUGGUCGAAA